GGCUCCAUAGUGUGGGGGUUAGCACGUCUGCUUUACACGCAGAAGGUCCUGGGUUCACGCGCCAGGUGGAGCCA
rnacentral:tRNA from 1 species